UGCGAUAAGGGCAAACCUGACAAAAGUCAGGGGCGCAAAGCCACGGGUCCUCGCUUCCUCCGCGACGCUCCCUGCAACGCCACGAAGGACCCAAGAUAGCCGGGCUGCCGCUG
rnacentral:ncRNA from 1 species